ensembl:lncRNA
AAGAUUGGACAACAUGCACAGUUGGAAACGGGGAAAUUAAAAAUAAAAUAACUCUCUGGAACUAAUUCAAAAAGUAAUGGGGGUUAUGGUCAUGAAGAAAAGAUGUCUGAAAAAAAUGUAGUGUAUUUCUAUGUAAAAAAAUGUAGUGUAUUUUCUAUGACAAAAGUAUUUGUCAUAGAAACAAGUCUGAACACAUUUUUAGUGGAAUCCUUUCAUGAAGGAUUUUAAAGGAAUUUCCAACCAAAAUGAUUUUGAAUAUAUCCAUUCAAAAACAAAUACUUUGCAUAGAAUAUACAGGUUACUCACUUAAACCACAAAUCAAAGAAAAUUAGUAUGAAAUAAAGCUUUUGUAUUAAACAGUUUUUCACUUAGGAUUUUUGGCUAUAAUUCUGUCCUUAUUAAGACCAGUGGCAAAUAUCCCAUUACUUUUAAUAUAAAAAGUCUAAAGUAUUUAUGACAUUUGGGUAAACCUGGAAAUGAAAGUAAUCAGCCUUGAAUGUCUCUGUCUGAUAAUACAGAACACAAGUUCACUGGAAUUCUUAUUAUGAUCUUCAAAAACGUUCUUAGUUCUCAGUGGAAAAAAAAUACUAAUUGAUCAUGUCACAUGUGCUGAGAGCCCAGUAUUUUUCUGUCACAGAGAAGAUGGAAGAUCUUGGAGAAUUUUUGUUCUACUAACUGUACUAACUCUCCAGUAACAAUUACAAGCUUUUAAUUAUAUAAUGGGUGAUGAGGUAGUCUGUGGAGAGAUUUAUUGAUGACUGGCUGACUGAGAAAAGCCAUGCAGACACUGUGCAGCUGGCUAAGCAACCUUGUUACGCGCAAGGUCAGGUAUGAGAACUAGGAACAAAACAGGAUGCCGAUGGAGAAAGCGGCAACAGUGUUUUGAGAAGUCUGUAACAGAGUGUUUGCUGUGAGAUAACCACAGAGCACAAAGAUAGGUGUAGUUGACACUGACUAGCAAGCCAAUCCUGAGCUCCACUUUAGCAAUAUGCGUGAGCCUAUUAUCCACACUAUAAAUGUACACGCAGCUGAAACAAUAAACGAGAUUUGCUGAUCAGCUACUAUGGUCAUCGCAUUUCUCCCGCUGAUUUCCUACAGUAGUCUCCAUGAUGUCCGAUAGUAGAAUAUUUCUUGAUUUUUAAGUACUCUUUCAAAGUAUUUUAAGAAGCAAUUAGAGGAUUGGGAAGCUGGGAAACUUAAAGCCAGAAUGUUGGGGGCCAGAAGAUCUGACUCUGUGUCCUGAAUUCCUGAUGGAGGAAACCCUUUUUGGUUGGGCCUUGGAGAAGCACUGGGGGUGUAAGUGUGGCUGAACUUGUGCCCUCUCUGCUAACCUGACACAGACGAGCUGUAGCCAGGAAGCCUUCUUGCAGUGUCUGGUUGCUCUGUUUCCAAUUUCUCAGCUGGAAAGUAUGGAUUGGGUUAGCAGCCCAUUAAUGCGAUCUCGGAGUUUGCAAAGCAUGGCUGGGUCACAUCUGGCUAGUGACGACUGCAGACAAACUGAGCUGCACUCACCUGCUCAGGACGUGGCCUUUGCCUCUGACAGCACCCAGUGGUAGCUGGAACAAAUUGAAUAAUCUUUAACUUUAUAAAUAAAGCAAACAAAUACAUUGAGGAAGAAAAGAAACAGUCGAGUGGUAUUUGAUUUUGCCCUGGGCUGUGUUAUGUGCAUGGAUGACCACAGCAAAAAAUUAUGUUGAGUCAUCUAAGUAAAAUUUAUUAAAAAUAUAUAUUUCUGAAAUCAUUUCAAUCAUUUCUUGUGAAGAGUAAACCAGUCUAUAUUAAGAUGAAUUUGCAUUCAAGACGCUUUGAAAGGGAAACUUUUUUUCCCACUCUGUUAUAAACCAUUCAUGAGUUAUUGCUUCGAUGUAGAUGAGAGAAAAUCCCUUAUAGUUUUGGAAUAAACUGGGGAUAAACAUUGAAAUCUACAUCUACAAUACAGAAGAGCUUGUGAAACUAUUUCAGUUUGCACUUCUCCAUGGAAAUGACAGUGCAUAAAUCUACAAUUGUAGUCAGGGGAAAGAAUGUUAUAAAUGAGCUCUGACAAUGUGAUUUUAAAACUGAAAUGCCCAGACAUGAGUCUGUACAUGUUGUUUAAUCCUUCAUUUUAUAGCAUUAGUUUUAACUGGUAAUAAAAAAGUUGUCUAAUAUCCUUCUUGACUGAUCAAGUCCUUGUGGUAAAGUACAUAGAUAUGAAGUUAUGCACAAGAACUUCUCAGAAUAAUCAUAAAUCAAAUGAAUUGGUGGGGAAGUAGGUAACAUGAACUUUUUACUACCACACUUAAUUCUGCUUACAUUUAAUUCAGAAGCUCUACAUGCCUAGAACAGACUUAGAAGAUGCUGGGCUCUGUGAUCAUUUGCAAAGAGUAAUUUUAUUUCCACUGUGGGAAGACAAUCUAACAGAACACAUUGAAAAAUAAAUGGAUAGAGUGACUUUUAGAAAUGAAGCUGUAUAAUUACAUGUAAAUAAUAUAUUUUAAUGUCUAAGCUGAAAUAAAUGUAACUGGGAAAACAAAGGAACUGUUUGCUGGAUAACGUAACGUAGACAACUUAUAUAGUAUACCUAUUACUAGUACAGUAAAGAGUAAUGUUGCUAACAAACCUAAAAAUUUUAAACUGAUGUUUGCUUUGAAAUUAAACCAGUCUUCUUUCUUUUUUUAAGUACAUAAUUUCUUUUAUUAUUUCUCUUUAAAUAUUAGUGUAAGGUGAAAUAUAUUUUUUUGCUGUUAACUUGGUACUUUCUGGUUUAUAUUCACAGACAUGGGAUGUGCUUGUUAGUUUAAGAAGUUGUUAGCGCAAGCCACUCCUAUCGGAAUCUGACAAUGACUUCUAGAAGCCCAUUAAUCUGCUUUGAUAACCAAGACGUAAAAUUCAAUCUUGCCUGCAUGUGCAAAAUAAGUAAGUUUUAAUUAUCUUAUGGAAAUUAUUGGUGUCCCAGACAGAAUUACUUCUCUAUGUGAUUUCAGUGUAAUGAUUUCAGUGUGACAAAGAGACUUCCAGUAAAGACUGAGGAAAAGAGGCCAGUGAAGUCAAUAAGCCUUGAAUUAGAGCUCUGGAUUUGGUUCAUCUCUUAUCCCAUGGGUAAAAUAAUAGUACUUCAAAAGUAAAUAAGCGGAAGUCAUCUUUUAAAUUAGAACAAAGGAUCAAGGCAAAUCUUUAGUUCUCUGAUAAUGAGCGCACAAAAUUUGCUCAAAGAUCUUCUGUAGGAAAUAAAGAUUAGAAAAAGUUUUCCUAUAAAUUCUACUUUGCUCGUCAUAAGACAUAAGCAAACGUUUGUAGUCAUCAUGUUCUUCACCAUAUCAGUCUUUUCAUCUUAAUGAGUCUAAAAUUUCUUGCUCUUGUGACAGAUUUUGUAUCUAUCAUUCUAAAAAUAAGAAAGUGGCAACAGAAACGCUGAUACCUAGAUCUCCCUUCCUUCUGCAUCUUUCAGAUUAUAUUGCUUUGUGAUCAAGAGAAUUUUAAAGGCCCUACAUUUAAAAAUCUGAAGGAAAACAUUGGGCCACCAUAAAUUCAGGAAGGGUGCAGAUCUGAGAUCUGUUCCUACUCAGGGAAUUCUUUGUGCUCACAAGAGCAAGCUGUGAGCCUGUGAGUUAAUUACAUACAUUGACAAUCCCAGUAGGGUCAACCUGUGGAAGGUGGCAGCUUAGGCAGCAAAAUUCAUUUAACAGUGAGCUUGCCAGCUCACUGGUCUUGUAAAAGAAUUCUUGUAUAUUCUUGUAUAUUCUUGAAUUCUUGUAUUAUCUUGAAUAGUAUCAAGAUAAUUCUUGUAAAAGCAUUCCAGCCCUUCUCAUGAAUUUCCCGCUUGGAACUCUUACCUUCUUCUGUGCAGCUCAAGACCUGCCAGAAACACACACAGAAAAAUUACUUCCUUUUCAUACAAAACAUUUCUGUAAUUAAUAUCAGAAAUGGAGAAGUUACCUGUGUUCAGAGAAUGCUUAGAAAUACAGUUUUGAAAUCUUUCUCUGAGGGAGUAUCCCUAUGAAGAGUUAAUCUUCAAAUUCUUUCAGCUAUGCAUCUCAGAACAAUCAGUCUUCAUUAACUUUCAGAGGUAUGAAAGGAUAAGGAUGUGAGAAGGAGGACACUGAUAGGAGACGUCAAUAAUUGGCCGUGGAACUGGCAUCAGCAAGUGGGUUUUAUUUCUGUGUCCAUGGGAUCUUAUCUGGGGAUCGCUGUCUGUCAGGGAGAGACAGGAUGUACAGCCCCUAAGUGAUGUGAAUAUGUUUUUUCCAAUAGGUUUUGUCUGAUCUCAGAAGAGGUCUAGGAAGGAAGAGGGAGGGUGAGGAUAACCAUCAGUCCUGUGAAUAGAUGACACACAAGGCUGAUGAACAAAGAGCAUGGUAGUGAUGUGAUAGGUAG